rnacentral:rRNA from 1 species
GACGAACGCUGGCGGCGUGCUUAACACAUGCAAGUCGAACGGAAAGGCCCUGCUUUUGUGGGGUGCUCGAGUGGCGAACGGGUGAGUAACACGUGAGUAACCUGCCCUUGACUUUGGGAUAACUUCAGGAAACUGGGGCUAAUACCGGAUAGGAGCUCCUGCUGCAUGGUGGGGGUUGGAAAGUUUCGGCGGUUGGGGAUGGACUCGCGGCUUAUCAGCUUGUUGGUGGGGUAGUGGCUUACCAAGGCUUUGACGGGUAGCCGGCCUGAGAGGGUGACCGGCCACAUUGGGACUGCGGUACGGCCCAGACUCCUACGGGAGGCAGCAGUGGGGAAUAUUGCACAAUGGGCCGAAGCCUGAUGCAGCAACGCCGCGUGCGGGAUGACGGCCUUCGGGUUGUAAACCGCUUUCGCCUGUGACGAAGCGUGAGUGACGGUAAUGGGUAAAGAAGCACCGGCUAACUACGUG